UACGAAGGGGGCUAGCGUUGCUCGGAAUCACUGGGCGUAAAGCGCACGUAGGCGGGUCUUUAAGUCGGGGGUGAAAUCCUGGAGCUCAACUCCAGAACUGCCUUUGAUACUGAGGAUCUUGAGUUCGGGAGAGGUGAGUGGAACUGCGAGUGUAGAGGUGAAAUUCGUAGAUAUUCGCAAGAACACCAGUGGCGAAGGCGGCUCACUGGCCCGAUACUGACGCUGAGGCACGAAAGCGUGGGGAGCAAACAGG
rnacentral:rRNA from 1 species